UACGGGGGGGGCAAGCGUUGUUCGGAAUUACUGGGCGUAAAGGGCUCGUAGGUGGCCAACUAAGUCAGACGUGAAAUCCCUCAGCUUAACUGGGGAACUGCGUCUGAUACUGGAUGGCUUGAGUUUGGGAGAGGAAUGCGGAAUUCCAGGUGUAGCGGUGAAAUGCGUAGAUAUCUGGAGGAACACCGGUGGCGAAGGCGGCAUUCUGGACCAUAACUGACACUGAGAGACGAAAGCCAGGGGAGCAAACGGG
rnacentral:rRNA from 1 species